UGAUCCUGGCUCAGGAUGAACGCUAGCGGCAGGCUUAACACAUGCAAGUCGAGGGGUAACAUUGUAGCUUGCUACAGAUGACGACCGGCGCACGGGUGCGUAACGCGUAUAGAACUUACCUUUUACAGAGGGAUAGCCUUUAGAAAUGAAGAUUAAUACCUCAUAGUAUUAUUGAUUGGCAUCAAUUAAUAAUUAAAGAUUUAUCGGUAAAAGAUGGCUAUGCGUCCUAUUAGCUAGAUGGUAAGGUAAUGGCUUACCAUGGCUACGAUAGGUAGGGGCCCUGAGAGGGGGAUCCCCCACACUGGUACUGAGACACGGACCAGACUCCUACGGGAGGCAGCAGUGAGGAAUAUUGGGCAAUGGAGGUAACUCUGACCCAGCCAUGCCGCGUGCAGGAAGACUGCCCUAUGGGUUGUAAACUGCUUUUAUACAGGAAGAAACACUCGUACGUGUACGAGCUUGACGGUACUGUAAGAAUAAGGACCGGCUAACUCCGUGCCAGCAGCCGCGGUAAUACGGAGGGUCCGAGCGUUAUCCGGAAUCAUUGGGUUUAAAGGGUCCGCAGGCGGUCAAUUAAGUCAGAGGUGAAAUCCCAUAGCUUAACUAUGGAACUGCCUUUGAUACUGGUUGACUUGAGUCAUAUGGAAGUAGAUAGAAUGUGUAGUGUAGCGGUGAAAUGCAUAGAUAUUACACAGAAUACCGAUUGCGAAGGCAGUCUACUACGUGUGUACUGACGCUCAUGGACGAAAGCGUGGGGAGCGAACAGGAUUAGAUACCCUGGUAGU
rnacentral:rRNA from 1 species